CGGGAGCAACGAGCGAUUCGGCCCUCGUGUGCUUUGGAGUCACUCUCGCAACUGCCUAAAACUGCAAAGUACCGAGCGACUCCCAACAUGAAAAUCGCUCCCGUCUGUGCCCAUCCAGUCUCCCAUUUAUGACUGCAUAUUAGUAGUCUGACAGCCAGGCCAGCACAGCUGCAGUUUUUACUUUCAUGCAUCGUUGCAUUCUGACGUGUAACUGAGUGGACUUUUUAGAAUCACAGGCGCGGCGCUUCAGAAAAAUGCGUAUCGAGUUUCAAACCUUGAUCCCUCGAUAUCCCCUGUACUAUUUUUCAAAACACUGCACGGCACUAUCGCCGUAACUUUGAUAGAAAAAAAUUUCCUUUUCUAUUGGAUAAAUUUUGUAAGAUACCAUCCUAAAUUUGCAAGAAAAUAAGAUCGUGAACUCUGAAGAAAAUCACAGUUUUUUUACAAGAUUAAUUUUCGGAUACUCCACUUCUCAAAUCUGAACUUAAGCCACUUGGUGCCAAGGAAAUUGGCGCAGAUCCAGCAGUUUUCAGUCCGAAAUGAGGAUUUCCUGUGGGGAUUUUUGGUAACUGUCAGUGCCCGAGCGUAUACAUAAAUUGGCGUUAAUGCAGUUUCAUACCCUCCUGUGUUGCGGUGAUAAUUGACUGUUAGCUGUGUUGCAGUGGUGAUUGACUGAGAGCUGUGCUAUGUUCAGUGUCUGAGCUGCGCUAGCCUAGCCAUAGCCUAGCCUAGCUUGAGAAAUAGUUGACAUGGUGACGUUAGCUGCUGGGCUGUGAUGCAUUCAAUGUUUCAUAAAAAAAAAUUAAAAAAAAGAUGGUUGGUAGAGGAAAGAAAUUGAGUAACAUCAAGAGAGCUAACAUCGGGACAAACAAACGCCUAAAGGAACGUCGUACUCAGAUCAUCUCAUCUCGGGAAGCUUGCUCUAAACCAGGAGGAUUUUCUAAAAAUGAGAAACGUGGGAAACCUAAGAAGGCUAUGUUUGCCUUUGCCGCAGCACAAAAGGCAGGAUAUUUCACUAAUAAAA